AGCAGCCGCGGUAAUUCCAGCUCCAAUAGCGUAUAUUAAAGUUGUUGCAGUUAAAAAGCUCGUAGUUGAAUUUCGGGGUCAGUAGGUUGGUCGUGCCACAGGUAUGUACUGGCUUCACUGAUUCCUCCUUCUUGAAGAACUGUGAUGCCAUUAAUUUGGUGUUGCAGGGAAGCAGGACUGUUACUUUGAAAAAAUUAGAGUGUUUAAAGCAGGCUAACGCUUGAAUACAUUAGCAUGGAAUAAUGAAAUAGGACGUGGAUCCUAUUUUGUUGGUUUCUAGGAUUAACGUAAUGAUUAAUAGGGAUAGUUGGGGGCAUUAGUAUUCAAUUGUCAGAGGUGAAAUUCUUGGAUUUAUUGAAGACUAACUACUGCGAAAGCAUUUGCCAGGGAUGUUUUCAUUAAUCAAGAACGAAAGUUAGGGGAUCGAAGACGAUCAGAUACCGUCGUAGUCUUAACCAUAAACUAUAGCCGACUAGGGAUCGGAUGAUGUAAUUUUUAAUGA
rnacentral:rRNA from 1 species